rnacentral:tRNA from 1 species
GGGCCUUGGUUCAGUGGUAGAAUAUUUGCUUGGAAUCCAGAAGGUCCCAGAUUAAAUCCCCAGCAUCUCCA